rnacentral:rRNA from 1 species
AUGGCAGAUGAGUGCAAGGUUUGUGCCGUGAAUAUAGAUGAGAGAGGGUCAUACUUGGUCAAGGUAGAUGGACACUCAAGAGCCAAGGAGCUGUUCAACAAGGGCGAGUACAUGGCUUCUUCCCCUUUCAGUUUUGGAGGUCACCAAUGGUUUGCGGUGUAUUACCCAAACGGAAACGGUGACGACUCGGAAAAACAUGUUGGUUACAACAUACUCGUGAGCAUGGUUCUUGAUUCACCCGACGCCAAGGAUAUCAAGGCGGAAGUCAAAUUUUGCGUACUUGCAAAGGACGUGCUACCGGUGCAGAAACUCUGCUGUACCGUCGCUGAUUGCAUCUUCCAACGGAAAGAUUCAACAUGCGAGUACUUUGUGAGGUGGGAUGUUUUUGAGCGGCCCGAUCAUAUAAUAGAUGACUGUUUCAGCAUCAGGUGCGACCUAACUAUCAUCAAGAAUAAUAAUAAUACCCUCCAUCAAGAAACUAUGGUUCCUCCAAGCGACUUGCAUCGGCAUCUCGGCAACCUCCUAGAGAGCAUGGAUGGAGCCGACGUCACCUUUCUUGUCGGAGGGGAUAAGUUCUUGGCCCAUAGGAUCGUCCUCGCUGCUAGGUCAUCUGUAUUCAAGACGGAGCUCCUCGGCGCCAUGAAGGAGAAGGUUAACAAUCUUGUUGAAAUCAAGGAGAUGGAACCCGAUGCGUUCAGGUGCUUGCUCCGUUUCAUAUACACUGACUUGUUGCCUGAUCUAGAUGUGGUGAUGGCUAGCCAUCUGCUCGUGGCAGCUGAUAGGUACAACGUCGAGAGGCUAAAACUGAUAUGCGAGCACAAGUUAUGCAGCAACAUUCAUACCAACAUGGUGGCUACCAGUUUGGCCUUAGCUGAGCAGCAUAGCUGCAAGCGACUCAAGGAAGCUUGCCUACGGUUCCUUGCUUCUCCCUCCAAUUUGGAGGCCAUGAUGGCAUCAGGUUACGAGCAUCUGAAGAGGAGUUGCCCAUCUGCCCUUAAGGAGCUAAUUGCUAGUCUCCUGCCAGAUACAAUGAAAGCGGCCAAGGAUAUUAUCAUGGAAAUUUAG